ACAUUGGGGUAUUGAGCGGCGGCUGGAGAAGUGGCUAUCAUCGGCUCGAAAAUAUCCCUCAAUUUUCAAAAAUAAUCGGUCUGAAAUGUAACCUGAGUUCUCGGGAAACUGUGGUAGAUUUUGGGUUGAAGUGUAGGGAAGGUUCGUGUCGAAAAAAGGUCCGCGUGUGGGGUUUUGUUUUCGGGGUUGUUUUUUGGGGAAAAUUUGAGUACGGGUUCCAUUGUGAGCUGAACUGUGUUGGGGUUGAAUUGGUAGUGUCACAAUGAAUAACAUCUUGGGACUGGACUUCCUGAUUUUGUGCUCUCUGAUAACAUUCCAGUCGGCUUGGAGUUACGGCAUUUUCAAAGAUUCGUGUACAUUCCCUGAGGAUUGGGCGGGCAGAUGGUUUCAGAGCGGGGUUCGCACAGUGAUCAUCAACAGCACCUCAAUCCAAUACAAGGGCAACUGCAUCCAGUCCGAGGGAGACAAGUUCCUCAUAGAAGACAAGGAAGACAACUGCUUUCGUUGUGUAGUGAUUCACGAGAAGCAUGAGAACGUCCUCCAAUAUAAAGAAACAUACUGUGAAUGGAGAGAACCCCUGGAGACGUUAUGCGAGAAAAUCACAGGAGACGCACCCCUCUUCAGUAUGUUUCGGGUGGAGGCCAAACCCUCCCCAUGCCCAUUUAAACCCCCCUUCACCUACACUUACAACAGGGGUUCUGGAGAAUGCAGAUUGCCAGUAUCUAGAGCUGAUCCUUGUACUGAAGAUUCAAGACUGCUUUUGAGGUAUCAAGCAUGUCCAGAUGUGCACAACUCGGAAAGUUCUGUGGAGGAGUUGGUGUGCCUGGCAUGGUGGAAGGACGGUUCUAUGCGCUACCUGGUGGGUCAACUGCAUCAUCACAUGGUGAAAGAUGACGAGGAUAGAUACAGGUGCUUUGUGUUCGAGGAGAGGGCAGGUGGCAGCUUCAACCUGGCGCAAUCAGGUGAUGCCACCUGCAAUGGACUCCUAUCACCCACCGAGGGGUCACGUACACUGCAGCUCAAAAGAGUGGAAACCCAUCACAACAGCGGUGGGAGAGUGUGCCGAUUCCCAGCCUGGCUGACAACGCAUCACCUCUGGCACACACUGGACUACUCUCGCAGUUACCACUUCUCCCCGCGUAACGGCACGUUACGCGUUACGUCACCCACGCACGUUACGGUGCUCAGGGCACAGUGUCAUCACGUUACGCACGCCACUGACACGCAGGCAUUACUCGUUACGCAUCUCACUACUGGCUGUCAAAGCGGCUAUUCGUGUAUGAUGUUCUACAAACGUGAGUCACAUGUGAUUGAGCUGCAACAAUCAGCAAAUCGUACACAAACUCCGGAGGAGGCAUGUUUGUCUUUCAACUUCAACCCACUGAUUCUUCCAUACACAACUUUAACAACUUCUACCCCGCGACCCCGAAAAUGCCCCUAUCUGGGUCGUUACGAGGUCUCUCUGAACGAGACCCUGUACAGCGGCCCGCCCGGUCUCAGCCUGCUAUUGGCCAAUCCCAGCAUGGCGCUGACCAAUAGGAACGCAGCGUCGCAGGGAGGCUCCGCCCCUUCCACGCCCCUACUGCCUGAAAACUGCAAACUGCGUCAAACUCAGACGCUCACUGUUGGAUGUUCUGAGUCUCAGGACAAGAUGGAGUUCCAUACGAGGGUGUACUGUGCAGGAGGUGGCCAGGGGGGUGCAGGGGGGCAGACCAGCACUAACAGGUGGUACAGCACCAGUGAUGGAAGUGAGGAGGAACAAGCACCAGCUAUUGACACGCUCACUGCAUACUCGUGCCACGGAGACUGGACAGACCACAACGGCACAACCCGCUACCUGAUCGUGCUGCCCUCGUCCCGCAAAUCGGUUGGAGCUCGUCGCUACUGUUUCGUCAUGCAAGAUGCUGCACAAGCGGGUGGCCUGGAAGGCAGCGUGCACAUCUCCUCGCUGACCGAGUCCUGCUACAGACAUCACCAGCAGCCUCCUCCUCCUCCCUCCACUGCCUACUCCUCACAGUCUACUGCGCAUGCGCACAUCUACCAUAACAUCAACAAUCCCCCCUCCUCUGCCUCCUCUACUGAUCAGCAGAGGGGUGCCGGCGAAAUGAUGAUGUCUUUCAAUAUUACUCCGCUUGGAGAAUGCAGCAGCGCAGUUAUGCAAAGAUCUCAGCUGUUCAGAGUCUCGAUUAUUCCGAUUGUAGGCCUAGCUGUCUCACGUCUCCUCAUUCUAAGAUGAUGCCAAACGCCCACAGUAAUAUUCUAAACAAAACAACAGUGUGAAAAAAAACAUUCCACUAAUGAUAAAUAUUAAUUGAUAAUUUGAUACCAGAUAAAUUAAUGUAAUAUAAAUAAUAUAUAUCUGUCCAGUGCCUGAUUAAACGGGAGCAAGAAGGCAUAUAACAUAUAAAACUGUUUUGUUUCAAUAUGGAACAAAAUGUCUAGGUGGCAUUGGAAAAUAUUUUCGAGAAAUACUUUCAAAAAAAAAAACAUUAGAGAAACAUUGUUGUCAAAAUGGAGGUAGAAAGCAGAGGGCGAUUUUCGCCAAGAAGAAAAGCUGCUUAUCGAUUAUUUGCAGCGAUAGAUCGAUGGAGAUGUCGAGAGUCUGAGAAUCGAUGUACUGAUAGUUGAUUAAUUGAUUCUCAUUCAACUUUUGGAUGAGUCCAGAGUCCAAUGUAGGGCUACCUAGAAUACAAUCUAAAAUAUAUUCUAGGUACCUUGGAAGAGUUUAUUGAUACAUUGACAGUAAAUGACAUACGGAGGGAAGGGGACUUCAUUUAGAUCAGAAUGCGGAAUCAAUACAUCGUCCAAUAUUUAUCGACUGUGUUGAAUCGGAGAUUCGAUAGUAUCGAAAGUUAAAUAUCGACAGCAUUAAAUGGAGUAUCGAUAUUUCAAUAGUAUCGAUAGCAGAAGAAUCAAAACAGUUUGAAACAAUGCGCCAAGUAACUUUAGCUGAUACCGAUGCUACUGAGGAUGAAGAUGAUAUUCCAAUAACAAGAUACACGGCUUUUAGAAGAAUGACACCCAAGCCACUCUAUUGUCCGGUUUGCUCGUUGAUGGUUUUGGUCUUUACGGUUGUAUCACUUCUAAUUGUCAUUGGAUUGAUGUCUAUUUUGCCGUGAUACUGUAUCAAAUUUAUGGAUUUGUGGCAUGAUACUGUAUCAAAAUGAUGGAAUGUUGCCAGAUGCUGUAUCAAAUUCAUGAAAUAUUGCCGUGGUACUGUGUUUAAUUUAUA
rnacentral:misc_RNA from 1 species